AACGAACGCUGGCGGCAUGCCUAACACAUGCAAGUCGAACGAGAUCUUCGGGUCUAGUGGCGCACGGGUGCGUAACGCGUGGGAAUCUGCCCUUUGGUUCGGAAUAACAGUUGGAAACGACUGCUAAUACCGGAUGAUGACGAAAGUCCAAAGAUUUAUCGCCAGAGGAUGAGCCCGCGUAGGAUUAGCUAGUUGGUGUGGUAAAGGCGCACCAAGGCGACGAUCCUUAGCUGGUCUGAGAGGAUGAUCAGCCACACUGGGACUGAGACACGGCCCAGACUCCGACGGGAGGCAGCAGUGGGGAAUAUUGGACAAUGGGCGAAAGCCUGAUCCAGCAAUGCCGCGUGAGUGAUGAAGGCCUUAGGGUUGUGAAGCUCUUUUACCCGGGAUGAUAAUGACAGUACCGGGAGAAUAAGCUCCGGCUAACUCCGUGCCAGCCGCCGCAGUAACAC
rnacentral:rRNA from 1 species